rnacentral:rRNA from 1 species
UUCCGGUUGAUCCUGCCGGACCCUACUGCUAUCGGGAUGGGACUAAGACAUGCUAGUCGUGCGCCUCCUAGCCACGCUGGAGGCGCGGCGCACAGCUCAGUAACACGUGGCUAACCUGCCCUCGGGACGGAAACACCCCCGGGAAACUGGGGCUAAUUUCCGAUAGGUGAAGACUCCUGGAAUGGAUUUUCGCCGAAAGGGCGUCUAGGGCAUGCUUCUAGGCGUUGCCCAAGGAUGGGGCCGCGGCCGAUCAGGUUGUUGGUGAGGUAAUGGCUCACCAAGCCUUUAACCGGUACGGGCCGUGGGAGCGGUAGCCCGGAGAUGGGCACUGAGACAAGGGCCCAGGUCCUACGGGGCGCAGCAGUCGCGAAAACUUCGCAAUAAGCGAAAGCUUGACGGGGCCAUCCCGAGUGCCAUCUGCUGAGGAUGGCUUUUACCCAGUAUAGAUAGCUGGGAGAAUAAGGAGAGGGCAAGUCUGGUGUCAGCCGCCGCGGUAAUACCAGCUCUCCGAGUUGUAGGGAUGUUUAUUGGGCCUAAAGCAUCCGUAGCCGGCUGGACAAGUCCUCUGUUAAAUCCAGCGACCAAUCGUUGGUCUGCGGGGGAUACUGUCCGGCUAGGGGGCGGGAGAGGCCGUCGGUAUUCCUGGGGUAGGGGUGAAAUCCUAUAAUCCCAGGAGGACCACCAGUGGCGAAGGCUGUCGGCUAGAACGCGCCCGACGGUGAGGGAUGAAAGCUGGGGGAGCGAACCGGAUUAGAUACCCGGGUAGUCCCAGCUGUAAACGAUGCAGGCUAGGUGUUAGGGCGGCUACGUGCCGCUCUAG